GAUGAACGCUGGCGGCGUGCCUAAUACAUGCAAGUCGAGCGAACGGAUAAGGAGCUUGCUCCUUUGAAGUUAGCGGCGGACGGGUGAGUAACACGUGGGUAACCUACCUAUAAGACUGGAAUAACUUCGGGAAACCGGAGCUAAUGCCGGAUAACAUUUGGAACUGCAUGGUUCUAAAGUAAAAGAUGGUUUUGCUAUCACUUAUAGAUGGACCCGCGCCGUAUUAGCUAGUUGGUAAGGUAACGGCUUACCAAGGCAACGAUACGUAGCCGAGCUGAGGGGGUGAUCGGCCACACUGGAACUGAGACACGGUCCAGACUCCGGCGGGAGGCAGCAGUAGGGAAUCUUCCGCAAUGGACGAAAGUCUGACGGAGCAACGCCGCGUGAGUGAUGAAGGUUUUCGGAUCGUAAAACUCUGUUAUUAGGGAAGAACAAAUGUGUAAGUAACUGUGCACAUCUUGACGGUACCUAAUCAGAAAGCCACGGCUAACUACGUGCCAGCCGCCGCCGUAA
rnacentral:rRNA from 1 species